UUAUUUGAUUUAGUAAUUUGUUUCCGAUUCCUAACGUUACAUAGUUUUACCGCUUCCUUCGCAAAGUUAAUUGGGACAAGGAGAAAAACUAAGAAUAAAGGUUGUGCAAUCAGUAAUCUAAAUGAAGUAAUGAUACAUGGGAAUAUAUGUAAAUUAAUGAAAAUAUUUAUAUAGAUAUAAAAUUGAACUCAACACCUUGUGAUAAAAAAUCACAUAGAGAAUAUAACAGAUUAUUCAAUCACCACUCCUCACUUAUUCAUUUCUAUUAGGCUUUAAGGGCGAAGACAAAUACUAGAUCAAGAAAUUAGUAAUUUUUCUAUCCAUGGUUUAAUUAAUGGCCAAAGGAAUGAUUUUCACUCUUCAAAAUACACCUUUUACGAAAGAUUUGUGGUCCACUAUUUGUUAAAG
rnacentral:lncRNA from 1 species